rnacentral:lncRNA from 1 species
CAGCUUGCAAGUCUUGGUCUUGCGAUCAAACAGACUUUGUGGCCCUAUAAGCAGCCCCGGAACAGAAUUUUCCUUUUCAAGGUUGCGCAUUCUCGACCUUUCCUUCAAUGAUUUCACGGGUCCUUUGCCUAGUGCCUUCUUUGCAAACCUGAAAGCAAUGAUAUCAAAUGAUCAGAAUGGAUCAGAGCGGCGAUACAUGGACCAAGGUUACUACCAGGAUUCCAUGAUUGCAACGAUGAGAGGACGGGACAUGCCGAUUGCUAGAAUCCUAGUGAUCUUGACGACCAUUGAUCUAUCAAGCAACAAGUUCCGGGGAAAAAUUCCUGAUGUGAUGGGAGAGUUAAGAUUACUCAAGGGGCUUAACCUCUCUCACAACAGUCUUGAAGGCCACAUCCCUUUGCCUCUUGGGAACCUUUCCGAGCUUGAAUGGUUGGAUCUCUCUUCAAAUGAACUUAGCGGAAUGAUACCAAUCGAAUUGACAAAUCUCACGUCUCUAGAGGUCCUAAAUGUCUCUUCCAAUCAACUAACAGGAUCGAUUCCUCAAGGACACCAAUUCAACACGUUUCAAGCCGGAUCCUAUCGUGGAAACCCAGGAUUGUGCGGAUUUCCACUGCCCAAAGCUUGUACUAAUUACAAGGCUCCGUGGAAACUCCCCGUGCAUCCUGAAGGCAGGGUCCAUUCAUUCCGCGUGGAUUUUCUUGAACCAAGGGUUGUGGAAAUAGGAAUAGGAUGCAGCAUCUUGCUCGGAUUAUUCAUGAGAAUUUUGAAAAACCUUAUCUCUAUCCGGCAGGCAAACAGGAAUUUUAGGAAGAUUGCGAGGAAAGACAUUUCUCCGAUCGGGCCUUGAAACUGUACACCAGAUGAAAGCUGGGGUUGCUGAUUUGUGAAUCCGUACAGCUGGGGUGUCAAAAUACCCGAACCGAAAAUUUCGGGUCUUAUUCGGUUCGGCAGACAAUUUAAAAUAAGGGGUACACCCGAACCGAAAAGGUACAGUUAUCUUCCUCCCUCGGUACCUCUAUCUCCUCCCUCACCCCUACCGCUAACAUCCCUUCACCGUCACUAGCAGGUCUGCCUCCGUUGCCCUCUCCGCCACCAUCCAAAGGACCUCCAUCGGCGGCGCCUCCUCUAGAUUGACCCGAAGUGCUCCCCACCGACUCUGCCGGAGCCGUCGUGAAUGGUGGUUUUAGCUUUUUUGGCAGUCCAGCUCCGGAUUCGUCCAUGGACGCCGAGAUCUUGAUGUGCUCGACUGUGUUUCUUUCCUCCGUAAAUCUCGAUUCAUGGAUCCGCGGGUCUGUCUCACUGUUUUCAAGUUCUGUAAAUAGCGAAAGUUCAAGGACUCACCUUCCCUGGAUUGGCUUCUCUUUGUCUCCUCCCAUAGGGGUUUCAAGCGUGUCCGGUCAAUCUCUCUCUCUCCCCCGCAUUUGUUAAAUGUAUCAAAUGUUUGACUCACAUCAAGAAUCUGAACUGGGAAUUUUUCACUUUCCUGUUUUGCUAUGAGCCCUUUGCUGCAUCUGGAGGGGCGAAGGGAAAGGCACGCCAAAACAAAACCAAAAACGACCACAUCAAUUUCGGGCCAGACGGGGUUUAGGUUGGGAUUUGGGUCUCAGCGAACACUUAUCUAAAGGUUUCGGUUUGGGUAUCACA